rnacentral:rRNA from 1 species
GUGGGGAAUAUUGGACAAUGGGCGAAAGCCUGAUCCAGCCAUGCCGCGUGAGUGAUGAAGGCCCUAGGGUUGUAAAGCUCUUUCACCGGGGAAGAUAAUGACGGUACCCGGAGAAGAAGCCCCGGCUAACUUCGUGCCAGCAGCCGCGGUAAUACGAAGGGGGCUAGCGUUGUUCGGAAUUACUGGGCGUAAAGCGCACGUAGGCGGACUAUUAAGUCAGGGGUGAAAUCCCGGGGCUCAACCCCGGAACUGCCUUUGAUACUGGUAGUCUAGAGUUCGAGAGAGGUGAGUGGAAGUCCGAGUGUAGAGGUGAAAUUCGUAGAUAUUCGGAGGAACACCAGUGGCGAAGGCGGCUCACUGGCUCGAUACUGACGCUGAGGUGCGAAAGCGUGGGGAGCAAACAGGAUUAGAUACCCGUGUAGUCC